CAUUCCCCCUCCCUUAGGUGAGGUACUCUCAUCCCUCUCGCCCUUGUUGGCCCCCUCUCUUGCCUAGCAUGGCACCCCACUAGCCCCUCCCUUGCCUAGUAUAGCACCCCCUUUAGCCCCUUUCCUUAGCUUGUUUGGCCCUUCUUUUGAUGUUUGGACUUGUGGGAUCCAUGUUGGGAUGCUAGUUAUUAGAACCAUGGUCUAAUCAAAUUUUGAAGUGCCGUCUAAGCCUUAGCCUUCCAAUAGACCUUCCCUAGCCAAAGCCUUGCCGAAGUGCCACCAAAACCUUAGCCUUCCAGGAGACUUUUCCUAAGCCGAAACUCUGUCGAAGUACCGCCUAAGCCUUGGCCUUCUAGUAGCCUUUCCCUAGCCAAAGCUCUGUUGAAGUGCCACUAAAAUCUUACCCUUUUAUCACAUUUUCCUAGCUGAAGCUUUGCCAAAAUACUAGUCCAGGAACUAGCUUUUCCCUAGCCGAAUCUCUGCCAAAAUUCUACCUGACAACUAGCUUGGGAACCACUCUUCCCUAGCUAAACCUCUAUCCAAAUAGCAGAAAGAUCACCACAGUCAGUUUCUCUAAAGAAAGGAAGUUGAAGGUCAAUACCACCUUCCCCUGAGCUAGGAGAAUUUAUGAGAAAGUCCAUAUCCACACCAGCCGGGGCCCACCUCUCUUAACCCGAAACAAUGGUUAAGCUUAGGUAUGGGGACCGAAUCAAUUAUGAUGCAAGAUCUGCUUAGAUUGGCAUUCGUGCAACCCAUUCUAGUUGAUGGGAAAUGGAAAUGUGUUGGGUUUUGGGGCAGCUGGAUGGUAAUCGAAGAUAUAAUGUAUCAAGGGAGGACUUUAUUAUUUGGAUGGCCUCGUUUUCAGGGUCAUUUUGUAUGAAAUCAGCCUAGAACAUUGUUAGAAACCUAUCAUCAUAGGUUGAUUAGGCGGAGUCGAUAUGGUUCUCCAACCAUAUUCCUAGAUAUUCAACAAUUGCUUGGGAGAAUACUGCCUCCCCACAAAGGAUUAGAUUUGUAACCUCAAAGUUUUGGCUUCUCCGUAUUGCAUUUUCUGUCGGGCAGGAAUAGAGAAUAGGGAUCACUUAUUUUUUGAGUUCUCUAUUACCAAAAAAAUAUGGAGAGAUUUAUUAAGUUUGUGUUCACUUUCUAGAAGACUUGGAGCAGACAUCCUUUUUGAAGCAAGGUGGAUUAGGAGUGGACGUUGAAGAUUGGUGCAAAGUUGAUAUCCCUAAUGUGAUGAAAUCCCACAGAAACAUCUUCUUCUUCAGAAAUGGGGAAUUCAUCAUAAAUUGAUUGAGAGGAGCAAUUCCAUGUUGAUCUGAUUCGAGGAUGUCUUUUGUUCUCCUUUCAUUCAUUUUUUUGGUUUGUCAUUUUAGUUGCAUCUCCUCUCCUUGAGUAUGGAGUCUCUGAGGCUUAGAGUCCUGCCCUUGAGUUUUAAAGGCUGCCUUAGUAUAAUUUUUUUUUUUUUUUUCCAUUUUGGAAUAAAUUGAUUUACUUAUCAGAAUAAGAAAGAGAAUGGCUUCUAUUA